rnacentral:rRNA from 1 species
ACAGGGGGGGGAUGCUUAGUACGGCGAGUGAAGCGGCAAAAGCUCAAAUUUGAAAUCUGGUACCUUCGGUGCCCGAGUUGUAAUUUGGAGAGGGCAACUUUGGGGCCGUUCCUUGUCUAUGUUCCUUGGAACAGGACGUCAUAGAGGGUGAGAAUCCCGUGUGGCGAGGAGUGCGGUUCUUUGUAAAGUGCCUUCGAAGAGUCGAGUUGUUUGGGAAUGCAGCUCUAAGUGGGUGGUAAAUUCCAUCUAAAGCUAAAUAUUGGCGAGAGACCGAUAGCGAACAAGUACAGUGAUGGAAAGAUGAAAAGAACUUUGAAAAGAGAGUGAAAAAGUACGUGAAAUUGUUGAAAGGGAAGGGCAUUUGAUCAGACAUGGUGUUUUGUGCCCUCUGCUCCUUGUGGGUAGGGGAAUCUCGCAUUUCACUGGGCCAGCAUCAGUUUUGGUGGCAGGAUAAAUCCAUAGGAAUGUAGCUUGCCUCGGUAAGUAUUAUAGCCUGUGG